rnacentral:snoRNA from 1 species
UUCAAAUGAGGAUCUAUUGCACUGGGCACUGAAUAAAUUUCGUGAGUGACAAUGCAUUAUUGGUGGGCCUCAGAAACCCACCGUGACUGAUUAG